AGAUUGAACGCUGGCGGCAGGCCUAACACAUGCAAGUCGAGCGGUAGAGAGGUGCUUGCAUCUCUUGAGAGCGGCGGACGGGUGAGUAAUGCCUAGGAAUCUGCCUAGUGGUGGGGGAUAACGUUCGGAAACGGACGCCAAUACCGCAUACGUCCUACGGGAGAAGCGGGGGACCUUCGGGCCUCGCGCCAUUAGAUGAGCCUAGGUCGAUUAGCUAGUUGGUGAGGUAAUGGCUCACCAAGGCGACGAUCCGUAACUGGUCUGAGAGGAUGAUCAGUCACACGUGGAACUGAGACGACGGUCCAGACGUCCGUACGGGGGCAGCGAGGUAGGGAAUAGUUGGAACAAGUGGGACGAAAGCCUAGACUCAGCCAUCGCCGUCGUGUGGUACGAAGGUAACGGUUCGUUACGGUAUUA
rnacentral:rRNA from 1 species